UCGGCCCCCUGGCGAACCCUAGCGCCCACUUUCCCCUCUCCCUCGCUCGCUUCUCCUCCCCAACCCGACGUUGUCGUCGCCAUGGCCAACCUAGCCUGCGUGUUCCUCGUCGUCCUCGCCGGCAAGGAGCUUGUUCAAAAGCUCUGUCUGCCUCUGCUGCUUCCAUUACGAGGUUCGGAUUGAGCCGGUCGCCUUCGCAUCGCGGGGACCGAGCCCAUCUUCAACCUCUAUUUGCCGCCGUGCGACGCGUCGAUCCGCGCGUCUCCGAUAGUCCCCGGCCUCGUCGAGCCUCCAUCAAGCUCCGCUAUGGUGGAUCCCUGGAGCCAGAUGCCACCGCCGAUGGAUGCUGCUACGCGAAGACCGCCGACGAUCAGAAGUUCUUAGGAGGUCCCAGGCAGGAGGCCUUGCCUCUUCGAUCGUUGUUGCUUUUGUGCUAGCCUUCUUAAGGCAUCCUUAUUUAACUUAUGUCUGUACUCAGAUAUUGUUGCUUCCGCUGACUUUUGUGUAUCGAGCUUGUAUUCGAGCCCUCGAGGCUCCUGGCUUGUAAUAUGAAGCUUGUAUUAUUUUA